rnacentral:rRNA from 1 species
CCUACGGGAGGCAGCAGUGGGGAAUAUUGCGCAAUGGGCGAAAGCCUGACGCAGCGACGCCGCGUGAGGGAUGAAGGUCUUCGGAUCGUAAACCUCUGUCAGCAGGGAAGAACGGUCACUGUGCUAAUCAACAGUGAAUUGACGGUACCUGCAAAGGAAGCACCGGCUAACUCCGUGCCAGCAGCCGCGGUAAUACGGAGGGUGCGAGCGUUAAUCGGAAUUACUGGGCGUAAAGCGCUCGUAGGCGGUAUGUCAAGUCAAGGGUGAAAUCCCCGCGCUCAACGUGGGAACUGCCUUUGAAGCUGGCAAACUGGAGUGUGUGAGAGGAUAGUGGAAUUCCAGGUGUAGGAGUGAAAGCCGUAGAUAUCUGGAGGAACAUCAGUGGCGAAGGCGACUAUCUGGCACAUAACUGACGCUGAGGAGCGAAAGCGUGGGUAGCAAACAGGAUUAGAUACCCUGGUAGUC